GCUGUUUUUAAUUCCUAAACCUAAUAUUUACCUCUGAGCAUUCAAAGUUAUUUUGAAUUUUAUCUUGACAAAUCACUAAGGGGUCUAUUCUUCUUUCAGUGCGUGCAUUUAACUCUCAUUAAUGUUCAUAUGAGUUAUGCACAGAGCUCAGCUCCAGCAGGUUUUUCCAGCAGGGCCUGAGUCCCAGCCCUUAUAUGGUGUUUCAAAGUUUCUUAUGCUUCUGAACAAACACAGAAUUCUUCUGCCCAAAUGGAGCAGAACAGUGCUUCCUCCCACCCUCCACUGUGACCUUCUGGUCUGCUACACCUAUCAGUGAUUUUAAUGUUUUCUUUGAGGCUGGAGGAAGGAAGAAGGGAGAACUACCCCCCCCAUUUUUGACAAAAGCCAAAACCACAGGAAACACGAUAUAGCUGAAAUUAACUGUGCUGCAAGGAAUUCUGGACUGCCUGAUGGUGUCUGACAUAAUUUUGGUCCAUUUCAAUGCUGUGGUUUGCAGAGAAGAAUCAAAUUGGAAGGAAUUUUGUUGGUUCUGGGGCGUCCAGUGCCCACAGUCCACUGUACUAUCUGUCCUGAGAGUGAGGACACAAGAUUCCUAGUCCACUUGGCUCCCAGAUUUUGGAGCAGUAUUGAAGACAGGAACCCUGAAGAGAUUUCAGAAGUGGGAAUCUGAAAGCUUUGGGAUUCAGUAUGAUGACAGAUGUCAUCCUGCAGAUACCUACAAGCUACAGUGCAAGCCAUUUUCAGGCAUGAGGCAAGGGUCCUUAUCCCAAAACCUCUGUUUUGGCUGAGGUUGGCAAGGCUUCCAGACAAGUGCCAGUACUGAGAACUUCAGUGGAAGGACAUACAGCAGUCUGGGAAACUGGGCUUCCCAACAGCUCAGCAGACAAGCUAGCAAGAAGCCAGACAUGGUAAGACCUGCCUAACAGACAGAAUGUCACCAGGUAUCAGCUGAAAUACUCUGGGGACAAUUUAUAGGUUUUGAUGAACCAGCAUUUUUAACAAGCAAAUUUCAUUGGAGAAUUCCCAGUGAACUGUAGUUUCCAGCAGUUUGAGAUGGUUCAGAUAUUGUUUGGUUUAAACCAGGUCUUUUUGAAAAAUGGAAGCAAAUGUCAAUUACCAUGUACAAAAAUAUGAUGUAAAAGUUAUCUCUUUUGGGGGGCAUGGGUUGCUUAUAGAAAGCUAGUUCCUAGGUAAAUACAAUGUAUUUUCUGUACAGAAGGUGAAGUGUUCUAGGAUUUUUCUCCCUUUUCACUUCCUAGAUGGAGCAACCUGGGCGAUCAGACAAUCAAGGAAGGUGGGGGUAAAUGAAUAGCUCC
rnacentral:lncRNA from 1 species